CAACCCAAAAGGACUAUAUGUCGCUUCCCAAAUCCAGAUAACUACAAGAGGUCUUUUCUUACUGUAGGGAGCAAAAGGUGAGGCAACUUCUCCGUAACAUUUGAGGAGAUACCCUGAUAUCCCCAGAAAACCUUCACAGAGAGGCCAGGCCCCUAAAUUUAUCUCCUAGUUAUAAAUGUACAUCAAGGGUACCUGCCAUUUUCCUCUCUCCAGAUGCUGUCAGUGUAGUUUCAUCAAUAGAAUGGACCAGUGUGGUGCUCUACGGGGUGGUGACCUGAUGAAGGUGCCUGUGGAUUUGGUGGCGCAAAGCGAGAAAGCCGAUGUAACCCUGAGGCAGGAUAAGAAGGGUGACCUUGUGCCCUGCCAGGCAACAGCAAGUGGCUUCUGGAAUCGUCUCUGCUUAUGAGACGGAAAAAAUUGCAUUUUCUUUCUCAAGAUUUGCAUACCCAGUCCAGAUGAGAGGAAGUGGCUUCCAGCAGAGGAGGCUCCCCUGUCCCCGCCCCCCACACCGUGUGUCACUGAUCUCCUUUUCUUGCUUCUGUUUAUGCUCCUUAGCUCCUUGGCUGCCCUCAUCUUUCUACUUUCUCUAAACUCACGUUUUUGGAGGGAGAAUUGAAAGCAUGGGCUCUAGAGCUGGAAACUCAAGUCUGUUAUUUCCUAGCUGUGUUACCUAGGGAAAGUUGUUUAAUGUCUCUGUGCCUCGGUUUCCUCAACUGGUUGAAAUUGGCAUAACAAUAGAGUCGACCUACAGGUGGACCUAUUGUCAAGCUUAAGCUUUUGGGGCUCUUCAUUUGUAUGGGUCCCUCAUAAAGGUGUGGAAAGAGCCUUAGCAAUUGUGUUCCUGUGGUCAAAUGUCCUUAUAUAAAUGGCGGAAGUGAUGUGUUAACUGCAGGCUGUUGUAAUGUCUGUCUUUUUCACUCUCUGUCACAUUUCCUCUUCUGCUGGGGGGUGUUGAAGUAGCCAUGGAUAUUUUUUAUUAAAUAGAGCAGUCCUAAAUUGUAUGAGCUUUAGGUCCCAUAAAAUUGAGAUCUGUACCUCGUAGAGUUUUUAUGGGGAUUAAAUAAGACAGUUACAGGUUAAGAGGUUAGUAUAGUCUUUGGUACCUAGCAUGUAUGUGAUGUUACCUAUUCUUAUUACUAUUCAUUCUGGUUUGACUGUCUUUCCAUGCUUCCUGUUCAGAUUCUAAUCAUCUCAAGUUCUGCCUGCUCCAGAUCACUGCACCGUAUCUCUGUAUCUUUUCAGUAGAGAGUGUCUUGGCCACCUGGAUCCUGGUUGCAGCAGUGGCAUCUCUGGGGGACAUUCGUCUUCUUUUUCUGUCUGUCCAGUGCCUUUGGAACACCCUUUCAAUGUUUGGGAAGUUUUAUGCCUCACUGGUCUUCAUUCCCCAAGGUAAAUUGCUUUUCCAGAUUCUACAGAGGAGGAUGCAGAAUUCACCAUCUAAUGAGCUUGUAGGGAAGGCAUCUGGCAGAGCCCAGGCAUGUCAUCCCGAGAGCCAGCUGUAGGCACUGGGCAGUGCUGUGUGAACUGUGCUGCCAGUGCCGUGGAGUUGACACUGGAGCUGCCCUUGCGGGUGCUGAGUGUCACCCUGGCCAUGCGGCUGGGGAAACUGCCCCCCUUGGAGACGCUGUGCACUGUGAAAUCUUCUUUGAAUAAUUAGUCUCUGCUUAAGAUGAUCAGAGUGGAAUCUGUUGUUUGCAACUAAGUGCCCUGACUGAUGGACUGGUUUGUGGUCUCUGUGUCUCUUUUUGGUGCCUCUAUUACCUAUUUUCCAUACCACAGCUAGAGUGAUCUUUUAAAAACUCAAACCUGGUCUUGUCACUGAGGAUGAGCCCCCAGGUUCUCAAGUGGCCCACAACAUCCUUGUGGUCUGUAUCCAGUGGAGGUGGGAGCACUAGUAAUUACCCUGAUCCUUAGGCUUUCCACAAGGUGAAGGGAUUUUUUAUUCCACUCCCAGAGAGAGAAACAAGUGUAGAAACACUUCCUGCCGUCCUCUCUGGCCCCUGACUUGCUUCUUCAUAGGUGGAGGAGUGACCUUAGUUACUCAUGGUACUGUAGAGAGCAUUUUUGCCUUCUUUGGUUUUUCUUUCAGGCUGGCUUGCCUUUGGCCACAUGUACUCUUUUCCCUUCAAAUGGUGAGCCCCUGCUUGGAGUGACCUGUAAUUUGUAUGGAUCCUCUGUCUGUAACUGGGAGAUAGUGGUGAAUGCAGGGAGUAUGACAUUUAUUUUGUUUUAUUAUUUUAAUUAAAAAAACCUAAAUAGAGACAGGGUCUCGCUAUGUUGGCCAGGCUGAUUUCAGACUCUUAGUCUUAAGCAAUCCUCCUGCCUUGGCCUUCCAAAGUGCUGGGAUUACAGGCAUGAGCCGCUGAACCUGGCCUAUUAUUUUAAUUGACACAUAAUAAUUGUACAUAUUUGUGGGGUACAGUGUGAUGUUUUAAUACAUGUAUACAUUUGUGUAAUAAGUAAAUCAAGAUAUUUAGCAUAUUGUAAACUAAAGAUGAAAUCCUACGCCCCCCACCCACUGAGAAACCUUAAAAACAGAGUCCUCAGCCAUGAUGGAAUAGAAGGUCAAACACACUUUAUUGUACCUCCUGUCUUCUAUGGUUUAGACACAACAAUUGACCAGCAUUAAUGUUAAAAUAGAGAUCAUGAGAUUGACAGAAUAGACUCUUUGUGGCAAUAAGAUACCAAAUUAUGAACAGGACUUCAGGCCAUGCCAGGCAAAGGUUAAGUCACACAUUCCUACACUUAAAGAAUAAACUAUGUUCUAACUGCCGCAAGGUUUUCCUUUUUCUCUAGCAGCUAAACAAGCUCUGGCCUCAAGAUAAGCAAUAGCAAAACAGUUGUAGCUCCUCCACCACCAGACACUUACUGGCUGACUCCCCUGUUCCACAAGCCAUAACUACAGCUUUGAUUGGCCAAAUGAUUGAUUUCAGUAACUUUCUCCUGAUAAGAAGACCACUGCCCAGGGACUGCUUCUGGCCAGUUUACAGAGGCUGCACACUUGAGUGCCUUUGUGUCUCUGCGUCACCUUUUGAGGAAUGAGAUCAACUUCAUGAGACUUAUUUUGACUGGAUCAUCUGAGGUCAGGAGUUCGAGACCAGCCUGGCCAACAUAGUGAAACCCCGUCUCUACUGAAAAUACAGAAUUAGCCGGGCGUGCCUGUAAUCUCAGCUACUUGGGAAGCUGAGGCAGGAGAAUUGCUUGAACCUGGGAGGUGGUGGAGGUUGCAGUGAGCCGAGACUGCGUCUUUGCACUGCAGCCUGGGCGACAAGAGCAAAACUUCAUCAAAAAAAAGAAAAAAAAGAAAAAAGAAAAGAAAGAAGUGGGUGCAGAGGCUGGGCUACAGAAGAACACACCAAUUCCCAUGGUUGAAUACUCCUUCGCACAAAAGCAGAGUCUCUGUGAGGGAUAAGGACUCCUUGAAGAUCACAGGGGUGAUAAAGAACCAGAGCUCUGAGGGUUUAAACGACCUACGCAAGAUCACAAAGUCAGUGAAAAGCAGAACCAGAAUUGUAAUUUUGAGCCUGAGGUAUCAACCACAUACUUACUAUAUGUCUUGUGAGGCCAAUAGCCUCACUCUACACUUUUGGGAGAUGAACUUGCAUGUAGUCAGUUUGGACAGAAGGAGUAUCUGAGUUCAUUAGUCCUCUCUACUUUCGUCCAUAAAUCUUCAUGACAUUUUGGGCUGGCUGAUUAAAAAGGAAAAAAAAACUUUUCAGAUGACCACACCACCAAGAAAACACGAAAUAGAUCCUGAUGUUUUCAAAUUUUUAAAAUGUUGUUUUUUUCAAUUAAAAAUAUUUAGGAAACAUUUGGAAUAAAUCCACCAUUAUUCCAUCACCUUAAAUUCUUUUUUUCUCAUAUAUCACCCUCAAGUCUUUGUCCCACUGCAAACCCAUGUUCUAUGC